ACCAGCCGACACGAGAGUGGUACAGCAAGUCGUGAUGAUCCGAAUCAGUUUCUUCGAGGACCGCGAUGAACUGACGAUGCUGAAGUCCCUUUGCGCGUAUAAAGUUGACUAGUUUUACCACUGGUUUCAUGACGUGAUAAAGCCGUUGAUGUUAACCAGAGACAUGGAGCAGGAAAUCAGCUCCUGCACUCAAUCAAGCCCCAGUUGUGUGGGAUGACGACAACACAACCGGUGAACAACACCCAUGAUAAAAGCUUGAGUCUGCAUUACACAAAAAGAGGUUAGUUGUAAGAGGUGAUUAAUUUCAUUUUCCAAGAUAUUCAGCAUGAUAACUACGC